rnacentral:rRNA from 1 species
GACGAACGCUGGCGGCGUGCCUAAUACAUGCAAGUCGAACGCAGUGGGGACGGGUGAGUAACACGUGGGUAACCUCCCAUCAGAGGGGAUAACACUUGGAAACUGGUGCUAAACCGAUAUGGUUGGAGGGACCCGCGGUGCAUUAACCAGUUCGUGAGGUAACGGCUCACCAAGGCCACGAUGCAUAGCCGGCCUGAGAGGGUGAUCGGCCACACGGGAACGUAGACACGGCCCAGACGCCUACGGGAGGCAGCAGGAGGGAAUCUUCGGCAAUGGACGAAAGUCUGACCGAGCAACGCCGCGUGAUUGAAGAAGGUUUUCGGAUCGUAAAACUCUGUUGUUAGAGAAGCGGUAUCUAACCAGAAAGCCACGGCUAACUACGUGCCAGCAGCCGCGGUAAUUC